AGGCCAUAUAAAUCGAACGUCUCAACGUUAUGACGUCCUUCGUGGAGACGAUUCCGUAACGAUCGCAUUUCCUCGUCGACAUGAGAGCUAAGUGGCGAAAGAAGCGCAUGCGCAGGCUGAAGCGCAAAAGGAGAAAGAUGAGGCAGAGGUCCAAGUGAACCGUGCUCUCCGCCAUGGCUGUGACGUCACAUGCCGACAACAACAACGGGACCGGUGAGCACAGCUGGAGACCCAGGACCCUCCCAAGUCAAGUCUGAGACCUGGAGCAUCCACUUCUACCAGAGGCAGCAGCUGCUGGCUCAGGCUCGGAGCUGUGACUGAACAUCUGCUGGACGACAGCUUUUCCUCUGGGACAUUCUGAACUCUUUGUUCUCAACUCCUCAGCUUUUGUCAUAUGUUUUUGUUUAUACUGUGAUUAAAGGUUUUGGUUAAAAAAGAA